GACGAACGCUGGCGGCGUGCCUAAUACAUGCAAGUAGAACGCUGAAGAGAGGAGCUUACUCUUCUUGGAUGAGUUGCGAACGGGUGAGUAACGCGUAGGUAACCUGCCUUGUAGCGGGGGAUAACUAUUGGAAACGAUAGCUAAUACCGCAUAACAAUGGAUGACACAUGUCAUUUAUUUGAAAGGGGCAAUUGCUCCACUACAAGAUGGACCUGCGUUGUAUUAGCUAGUAGGUGAGGUAAUGGCUCACCUAGGCGACGAUACAUAGCCGACCUGAGAGGGUGAUCGGCCACACUGGGACUGAGACACGGCCCAGACUCCUACGGGAGGCAGCAGUAGGGAAUCUUCGGCAAUGGGGGCAACCCUGACCGAGCAACGCCGCGGGAGUGAAGAAGGGUGUCGGAUCGGAAAGCUCGGUUGUAAGUCAAGAACGGGUGUGAGAGUGGAAAGUUCACACUGUGACGGUAGCUUACCAGAAAGGGACGGCUAACUACGUG
rnacentral:rRNA from 1 species